GGCUGGGUGGCAGAAUGGUUUAUACGGAGGACUGCAAAUCCUUCUAUACCGGUUCAAUCCCGGUUCAACCUU
rfam:Dictyocaulus viviparus strain HannoverDv2000 D_viviparus-1.0_Cont1054.2, whole genome shotgun sequence.